GGUCCAGAUUUGAAGUAGCGUAGAUAAGUAGGAUCAGCUGAUCGUACUAAUCUACUUUACUUCAAGUUUGUGCCC
rfam:Haemonchus placei strain MHpl1 genome assembly, scaffold: HPLM_scaffold0000347